rnacentral:rRNA from 1 species
UACAGAGGGUGCAAGCGUUAAUCGGAAUUACUGGGCGUAAAGCGUGCGUAGACGGUUACAUAAGUCGGGUGUGAAAGCCCCGGGCUCAACCUGGGAAUUGCAUUCGAGACUGGGUAGCUAGGGUGCGGAAGAGGGAAGCGGAAUUUCCGGUGUAGCGGUGAAAUGCGUAGAUAUCGGAAGGAACACCAGUGGCGAAAGCGGCUUCCUGGUCCAGCACCGACGUUCAGGCACGAAAGCGUGGGGAGCAAACAGG